rnacentral:rRNA from 1 species
UGCCUGGUGGGUAGUUUGACUGGGGCGGUCUCCUCCCAAAGAGUAACGGAGGAGCACGAAGGUGGGCUAAUCACGGUUGGACAUCGUGAGGUUAGUGCAAUGGCAUAAGCCGCUUAACUGCGAGAAUGACGGUUCGAGCAGGUGCGAAAGCAGGUCAUAGUGAUCCGGUGGUUCUGUAUGGAAGGGCCAUCGCUCAACGGAUAAAAGGUACUCCGGGGAUAACAGGCUGAUACCGCCCAAGAGUUCAUAUCGACGGCGGUGUUUGGCACCUCGAUGUCGGCUCAUCACAUCCUGGGGCUGAAGUCGGUCCCAAGGGUAUGGCUGUUCGCCAUUUAAAGUGGUACGCGAGCUGGGUUU